UCUCCAACACACAAUGAGUAAACAGGAUUUCAUGAACAUUCAGGCUUGUGCUCUUAGAGUUAACAUUCACUGUGAUGGAUGCAAACAAAAGGUCAAGAAAAUUCUUCAGAAAAUUGAAGGAGUUUACACUGUGAAAAUAGAUGCUGAACAAGGGAAAGUAACAGUAACAGGGAACAUAGAUCCAGGGAAACUGAUAAAGAAGCUUGAGAAAUCAGGGAAACAUGCUGAGCUAUGGGGAGCUCAGAUAAGUUCAAACAACAACAUGAACAAUUUCAACAAUCAGUUUAAG
rnacentral:misc_RNA from 1 species